AUUCAGCGGCGGACGGGUGAGUAAUGCCUAGGAAUCUGCCCGAUAGUGGGGGACAACGUUUCGAAAGGAACGCUAAUACCGCAUACGUCCUACGGGAGAAAGCAGGGGACCUUCGGGCCUUGCGCUAUCGGAUGAGCCUAGGUCGGAUUAGCUAGUUGGUGGGGUAAAGGCUCACCAAGGCGACGAUCCGUAACUGGUCUGAGAGGAUGAUCAGUCACACUGGAACUGAGACACGGUCCAGACUCCUACGGGAGGCAGCAGUGGGGAAUAUUGGACAAUGGGCGAAAGCCUGAUCCAGCCAUGCCGCGUGUGUGAAGAAGGUCUUCGGAUUGUAAAGCACUUUAAGCUGGGAGGAAGGGCAGUAAGUUAAUACCUUGCUGUUUUGACGUUACCAGCAGAAUAAGCACCGGCUAACUUCGUGCCAGCAGCCGCGGUAAUACGAAGGGUGCAAGCGUUAAUCGGAAUUACUGGGCGUAAAGCGCGCGUAGGUGGUUCAGCAAGUUGGAUGUGAAAGCCCCGGGCUCAACCUGGGAACUGCAUCCAAAACUACUGGGCUAGAGUAUGGUAGAGGGUGGUGGAAUUUCCUGUGUAGCGGUGAAAUGCGUAGAUAUAGGAAGGAACACCAGUGGCGAAGGCGACCACCUGGACUAAUACUGACACUGAGGCGCGAAAGCGUGGGGAGCAAACAGGAUUAGAUACCCUGGUAGUCCACGCCGUAAACGAUGUCAACUAGUUGUUGGGUUCCUUGAGGACUUAGUAACGAAGCUAACGCGAUAAGUUGACCGCCUGGGGAGUACGGCCGCAAGGUUAAAACUCAAAUGAAUUGACGGGGGCCCGCACAAGCGGUGGAGCAUGUGGUUUAAUUCGAAGCAACGCGAAGAACCUU
rnacentral:rRNA from 1 species